AACACAUGCAAGUCGAACGAAGUAGCAAUACUUAGUGGCAGACGGGUGAGUAACAUGUAGGUAUCUGCCCUUAGGCCUGGAAUAACACGAGGAAACUUGUGCUAAUACCGGAUAAGUCUUUACGGAGAAAGCUUUAUGCACCAUUGGAUGAGCCUGCACUAGAUUAGUUUGUUGGUGGGGUAAUGGCCUACCAAGACUGUGAUCUAUAGCUGAUUUGAGAGGAUGAUCAGCCACAUUGGGACUGAGACACGGCCCAAACUCCUACGGGAGGCAGCAGUGGGGAAUCUUGCACAAUGGAGGAAACUCUGAUGCAGCGAUGCCGCGUGAGUGAAGAAGGCCUUUGGGUUGUAAAGCUCUUUCGUCGGGGAAGAAAAUGACUGUACCCGAAUAAGAAGGUCCGGCUAACUUCGUGCCAGCAGCCGCGGUAAUACGAAGGGACCUAGCGUAGUUCGGAUUUACUGGGCUUAAAGAGUUCGUAGGUGGUUGAAAAAGUUAGUGGUGAAAUCCCAGAGCUUAACUCUGGAACUGCCACUAAAACUUUUCAGCUAGAGUAUGAUAG
rnacentral:rRNA from 1 species